rnacentral:rRNA from 1 species
ACUUCGGUUGCAUUUCUUGUGAUGACUCUGAAUAACUGAGCAAAUCGUAUGGCCUCUGAGCCGACGAUGUAUCCCUCAAGCAACUGCCUUAUCAACUGUCGAUGGUAGGUUAUGCGCCUACCAUGGUUGUAACGGGUAACGGGGAAUUAGGGUUCGAUUCCG